GUUACGACGUUAAAUAAGCAAACCCGGUGAAGUUUACGACGCACAGGAACGCAAAGUUAACAUGGCACCCAGGAAAGCUGUGAAUGCUCGCAUUGAUGAUCGACCUCCUCCUCCCCCACUACCAAAAACUGCUGAAGAGCUGAACGCUCUACUGGAAGAGAGAAUCUCUGCUGCUAUCGCCCAGUACGAGGCGAACCGUACCCAAGACAGUGGAGGGCCAAGCAGUGCCAGGCGUAACGGACAUGGAGAUUCGUCCGGUGGAAACGCAGUUCAAGGCUGCACCUUCAAGCAGUUCCUCGACUGCAAACCAAUGAACUACGAUGGCACUGGAGGAGCAGUA